AAGCCAGCCAACGCCUCCACUUACCUGAAUGUGUUUCUGCAGAAGUUUAGAGAAAGCUAUCAAUGUAGUACAGCCACGUCACAGAGCUUUACAGACAUUGAAGUCAUUAAGCUCCCCGAAAGUGGCUGUAAGG